rnacentral:rRNA from 1 species
UACGUAGGGUGCAAGCGUUGUCCGGAAUUAUUGGGCGUAAAGAGCUCGUAGGCGGUCUGUCACGUCGGCUGUGAAAACCUGGGGCUCAACCCCGGGCCUGCAGCCGAUACGGGCAGACUAGAAUUCGGUAGGGGAGACUGGAAUUCCUGGUGUAGCGGUGAAAUGCGCAGAUAUCAGGAGGAACACCAAUAGCGAAGGCAGCUCGCUGGGACGGUAUUGACGCUAAGGCGCGAAAGCGUGGGGAGCAAACAGG